rnacentral:rRNA from 1 species
CACGUAGGGGGCGAGCGUUGUCCGGAAUCAUUGGGCGUAAAGAGCUCGUAGGCGGCUCGGUAAGUCGGGUGUGAAACCCCCAGGCUCAACCUGGGGACGCCACCCGAUACUGCUGUGGCUAGAGUCCAGUAGGGGGGUGUGGAAUUCCCGGUGUAGCGGUGAAAUGCGCAGAUAUCGGGAGGAACACCAGCGGCGAAGGCGGCACUCUGGGCUGGAACUGACGCUGAGGAGCGAAAGCGUGGGUAGCAAACAGG